ACCAGACUCCUACGGGAGGCAGCAGUGGGGGAUAUUGCACAAUGGGGGAAACCCUGAUGCAGCGACGCCGCGUGUGGGAAGACGGUCCUCUGGAUUGUAAACCACUGUCCCCAGGGACGAAGAUGACGGUACCUGGGGAGGAAGCUCCGGCUAACUACGUGCCAGCAGCCGCGGUAAUACGUAGGGGGCAAGCGUUAUCCGGAUUUACUGGGUGUAAAGGGAGCGUAGACGGCGGCGCAAGCCAGAUGUGAAAGCCCGGGGCUCAACUCCGGGACUGCAUUUGGAACUGUGUGGCUGGAGUGUCGGAGAGGCAGGCGGAAUUCCUAGUGUAGCGGUGAAAUGCGUAGAUAUUAGGAGGAACACCAGUGGCGAAGGCGGCCUGCUGGACGAUGACUGACGUUGAGGCUCGAAAGCGUGGGGAGCAAACAGGAUUAGAUACCCCCGUAAC
rnacentral:rRNA from 1 species